rnacentral:SRP_RNA from 1 species
GCUGGGCGUGGUGGCUCACGCCUGUAAUCCCAGCACUUUAGGAGGCUGAGGUGGGUGGAUCACCUGAGGUCGGGAGUUUGAGACCAGCCUGGCCAACAUGGUGAAACCCCAUCUCUA